GCUCAUGCUAGUUAGAACAACAUCAGUCAGAAAAACUGUAAGAAAACACUGUUGGCCAGACUGUCCUUUCUGGUGGAAUAGCCUUCACUGAAAAUAGUACUACUACUACUUAAAAAAACCAAACCAACAAAAUCCAACACUUUAGAGUGCACUCAUUGAGAAGUUUAAUACAUUUUUUCUGAAGAAAUCAAAGUGUUCAAAGCUGGCUGGCCAACAGUGCACUCCAGCCAGGAAUAACAGAAUAGGACUCUGGCUCUUUUUUUUGUUGUUUUUUGGAAGCAGGGCCAUGAUUAAGAGCAAUGGUUGGGGGCAUUCAUAUUGUGCUACUUGAACUGGAAUUCUUGGACCAGUGCAAGAUGAACUGGAGCAAAAGCAUUUGCCAAGAAUAUUUUCAUUAAUCAAGAACAAAAGCUGGAGGCUUGUGGCCAACUCACUAUCGGGUGGCGUUACUCCCAUCACCCACCAGGCAGCUUGCAGGACACCCAAGUUUUCGGGU
rnacentral:ncRNA from 1 species